GCAAAGGCGAUGAUAAGAAGAGUAGGAAUAAGUUAAUGCUUCAGCGAGCUAACGAUGGUGGGAGGUUAGCGCUAGACUUAUUCCGAAGAACAUCUUGGAGCCUCUAACCGAAAUUGCGAAUUGCAAAAGUAGGCUUAGACGGGGCUACGCUGUUAAAAGGUAGGCGAUAUCGAGUUUAUCUCCGUAUCGUUAAAGAGGGCUUUGCCAAUUUGGGUGGCACCGCGGAAGUAACCUUUCGUCCCAUUA
rnacentral:ncRNA from 1 species